GAUGAACGCUGGCGGCGUGCCUAAUACAUGCAAGUCGAGCGAACAGACGAGGAGCUUGCUCCUCUGACGUUAGCGGCGGACGGGUGAGUAACACGUGGAUAACCUACCUAUAAGACUGGGAUAACUUCGGGAAACCGGAGCUAAUACCGGAUAAUAUAUUGAACCGCAUGGUUCAAUAGUGAAAGACGGUUUUGCUGUCACUUAUAGAUUGAUCCGCGCCGCAUUAGCUAGUUGGUAAGGUAACGGCUUACCAAGGCAACGAUGCGUAGCCGACCUGAGAGGGUGAUCGGCCACACUGGAACUGAGACACGGUCCAGACUCCUACGGGAGGCAGCAGUAGGGAAUCUUCCGCAAUGGGCGAAAGCCUGACGGAGCAACGCCGCGUGAGUGAUGAAGGUCUUCGGAUCGUAAAACUCUGUUAUUAGGGAAGAACAAAUGUGUAAGUAAAUAUGCACGUCUUGACGGUACCUAAUCAGAAAGCCACGGCUAACUACGUG
rnacentral:rRNA from 1 species